rnacentral:rRNA from 1 species
GUCUUUUUGAUAANUAANUUUAAAGUCUAGUCUGCCCAAUGNANNAUUANUUGAAUGGCCGCGGNNUAUUUUGACUGUGCAAAGGUAGCAUAAUAAUUAGUUUUUUAAUUGAAAGCUGGUAUGAAUGGCUGAACGAGAAAAUUACUGUCUCAAGUUNAAAUUUAUUAGAAUUUUAUUUUUAAGUUAAAAAGCUUAAAUUAAAUUAAAAGACGAGAAGACCCUAUAGAGUUUNAAUAAUUAUUUUANAUUNNUUNAANUUUUAGAAAUANANNNUUUUUAUUNAGUAUAAUUAUUUUAUUGGGGUGAUAUAUAAAUUUAAUAAACUUUANUNAAAUNUUAAUACAUAUUUUUAUGAAUAAGUGAUCCAUUAAUNUAUGAUUAUAAGAUUUAAUUACCUUAGGGAUAACAGCGUAAUCUUUUUAAAGAGUUCUAAUCGAAAAAAAGGAUUGCGACCUCGAUGUUGGAUUAAAAUUAAUAUUUGGUGUAGAAGCUNAANAUAAUUAGGUCUGUUCGACCUUUAAAAUUUUACAUGAUCUGAGUUUAAAUCGGUGUGAGCCAGGUUGGUUUCUAUCUUUAAUAUNAAUAAAUUAUUUUAGU